GCCAGGCAUGGUGGCGUGUGCCUGGAAUCCCAGCUACUUGGGAGGCUGAGGCAGGAGAAUCACUUGAACCUGGGAGGCGGAGGCUGCAGUGAGCCAAGAUCGCGCCACUGCACUCCAGCCUGGGUGACAGAGUGAGACUCUGUCUCAA
rnacentral:SRP_RNA from 2 species